rnacentral:misc_RNA from 1 species
UAUAAGCUCCCCCCCCCAAAAAAAAAAAAAUCGGGAGAGGGCUACAUUAUUGCAGCUAAUAAGUUUUGUGAAGUGCAAUCAUCAACAUACAUACCCAAAUAUGUAGAGAUUUUUAUAUUACAUUUGUUAGUUUAAUGAUAAUGUGACCAAUAUCUUUUUAUAAAUAAUAAUGUUCCAUGGCUAAAUUCUUGAAAACCCAUAAAUACUCAGCCAUGGGGAAAAUGCAUGAUAAUGUCUGGAUAGUUCUUAUACAAUAUACAUGUAUGCAGUGAGAAAGAGAGAUUGAACAUACAUGUACAAUUGACAAAGUACGUAUAUUGUAUUUUUGUUCAUUUUGUUAUUUUGUAUGAGUAUAUUGUAUUUUUGUUCAUUUUUUUAUUUUGUAUGAAGAUAUGUCAAACAAAUUGUGUUCAAAUCGAGAUAUAAAAUAUUUGUUUCCUUC